ensembl:lncRNA
GUUUGUCCUUUGUAUUUUUUUAGAAAGAACAAUGAUCAGGCAACAGCUGAACUUUGGAGACUUGAAGUCAGUGAUUAACUUGGGUUCUUUAGAAGUCGUACGCGUUGACUUAAAGGGCAGAAGUGGGUGGGGAGCUGAGGCCAGGGUGAUCCCAAGCGUGGCGUCUUGCUUGCAGGGCCCUGAUUUGUCUUGGAUGUGGUCAGGCCCAGGGGACAUGCAGGGAACAGAACCGGAACCCAGAGCCCUGAGUGCUUUAGCUGCCUGUGGACUGGGGCCCAGGCACACAUAAUCCUGGUUAUCUCUUGUUGUGGUACAAUCCACUCCACAUUUAGUGGCUUAAGAGAGCGAUCACUUUAUUGUUUAUGAUUCUUCAGGCCAGGAAUUUGGGCAGAAUUGAGCUGGGCAGUUUUCUGUUCCACGUGGCAUUGACUUGGAUCCUUCGUGUUAGCAAUGGAAACCACCAAUAUGCCAGAGGAGCCUAGUUUGAGAAUCACUAUGGAAAGCAACAUUCCUGUGUGUCUUCUCUAAUUAACAGAAAACUUACAGGAUGAGUAACACUCUUCAGUGAUCACUGAAAGAAUGGGAAUUUGAGAAAAUAUUCAUUUGCUGUCUGACUUCUCCAUCCAUUUCUUCAUUUAUUCAACACAAUUGAUCUGGCACCUUCAGUAAUGCUUACAUCAAUAUUCUGGUAGGUGGAUAGGGGAUAUAAAUAACACAUUACUAGACAGGAGUCAUAGAGAAAUGAAUCUAUUCCAGCCCUGUCUUGAGGACCUCAGUUAUCAAUUAACAAGCAGCAGAAGCCACUCUACCUGAUUUAAGCAGAGAACUCAUUUAUUAAAGACUUGGAGGCAGAGGCAGACUUGGCUUGGAAGCAAAGCAGCCCACCUGGGCAAUGCAGUGCUGCAGGGGAGGCCCUUCUGCCCCUGUUGAUGGAUGGGCGCUGAUGGUUGACACUGAGCACAAGACUCUGCUUUAGGACUUUCUGCCACUGCUGUCUCUGAAAGUUGGAUGUCUGCAGCCACAUUUGCCAAAGUGGCUUCCGCAAGGCAGCCAAUGCUUCUUGCCUCUUACAUCCAAUUGGCAGAGCCCAGGUCACGUAUCAUGCCUGUAUCAUCGCUGCUAAGGGAAACUGGGAAAACAGGUUUCUUCCUUCUACCUUCAAAAUUUAUGAAAUCAUGCAAUGGGAGAUUCUGUACACAUAGGAAAGAUGUCAAAAAGCACCAGGUAGACAAAAAGCAGGCUUCCCUUGUGGCUCAGAUGGUAAAGAAUCUGCCUGCAAUGCAGGAGACCUGAAUUUGAUCCCUGGGUUGAGAAGAUGCCCUGGAGAAGGGAGUGGCAACGCACUCCAGUCUUCUUGCCUGGAGAAUCCCAUGGACAGAGGAGCCUGGUGGGCACAGUCCAUGGGGUCACAAACUGAACAACUAACACUUUCACUUUUUUCACUUUCAGACAGACACCAUGACAAGUGUCCACUCUAAGAUCCCCAUCGAAUGGAGGAAACAGAUAUAUGUUCAAAAAUUAGUGGCAUAAGAGCUAUCAUCAAGACAUCCUUAUGGUCUGAUGGAGAUCAGAGGAAAAGCUGUUAAUAGCCUGGGAUUGUCAUGGAAGGCUUCUUGGAGGAGAUGAUGGUGACUGAGCUUAUCUUGAUGGGAUGAAGCAAAAGGGGGUCAGCUUGGAGCCAAGUAAGAAAAAGAUGCUCCCUCUCUGACUUUAAACAUACCUGCGCAGUGAGUGUGCCACAUUUCAAAAAUGAGAACUGAUGAAGCAGGAAGAAAAGGCGGAUUGGAAUCUGAAUGCAUUAGUAGCGGUCUCUUGUGAGAGUUGGCUGGAAAGCGCUCAGGGCAUCCUGCAUAGGGCUGUCUGCCGAAUUGACUUGGCCUGUGUCCUUUCCCUUCCCAACUCUGCUCCCUUCAUAUGUCCUAAUAGGUUAUGGCUUCCAGGAGGAAAUAUGCUGUGCAUUUUCAGAGAGGCAUUUUGGAAACACAAAGCCUGACAUCAAAGGAGUAGUUUGUUCUUUCUAGGAAAAAAAAAAGUAAAAUGUUGCUAUAAAAAGUAAUAAAGUCUAAAG